rnacentral:rRNA from 1 species
AGAACGAACGCUGGCGGCAUGCCUAACACAUGCAAGUCGAACGCUUUUGGGGCUUCGGUCCCAAAGGAGUGGCGCACGGGUGAGUAGCGCGUGGGAACCUGCCCUGGAGUGGGGGAUAACCGAGGGAAACUUCGGCUAAUACCGCAUACGCCGGGAAACCGGGAAAGAUUUAUCGCUCUAGGAGGGGCCCGCGUCGGAUUAGGUAGUUGGUGGGGUAACGGCCUACCAAGCCUGUGAUCCGUAGCUGGUCUGAGAGGAUGAUCAGCCACACUGGGACUGAGACACGGCCCAGACUCCUACGGGAGGCAGCAGUGGGGAAUAUUGGACAAUGGGCGCAAGCCUGAUCCAGCAAUGCCGCGUGAGUGAUGAAGGCCUUCGGGUUGUAAAGCUCUUUCGCACGCGAGGAUGAUGACGCUAGCGUGAGAAGAAGCCCCGGCUACUUCGCGCCAGCAGCCGC